CUCUUAAAGGGGCUAUGGGUCCAUUACAGCCAAUCACUUUUCAAGAACCACCUUUUAAAAGCCCAGGAACAAGCAAUCCCAUUUUGCUGCAGGUCAGGAAAGGCAGAGAGAAAACAAGAAAUGACAAAGUUCAACUUGAGUUGGACAGUGUGGUGUGACAACAAAAAAGUAUGUCAGCAGCAAAAGGAGGUCUAAGUAAAACAUUGGACUGAUACUUCAAGAAGAUGGUCACCUACCAAGUAAUGCUGCGGUCUUACUGAUGCAAAUUACAAAUGCAAGUCAGAGGAUCUAUAUGGGAAAUUCCACAACCAUGGAGAGUAUUAAGCGAAGUUCAUGUUUAUGCCUCCUUUUUGUGGUAAAUGAAAUUAUAUUUAUGGGAUCUCUCUCCAUUUACUACAGGAUGUUCUUUCCUCGAGUCAGAGUUUGAAGAGAGAUACAGAAGCUUUUGUGGUCUGUCUUCAGAAGAAUGGGAUUAAGUUAUUACACAAAGAAUUGUAUGUAAUAUAGUUUAGAUUAAUAAGGAGACUAGGCUUCCUAGGCUGUUAGUUUAAUUUUAAUUCCCAUUGCUGGAGAGUAAGAAGAUUUGAAUAUACAAAUUUGGCUGCUGAUUAUCCUACUCUGAAUGUUGUUUGGGAAUUACAGAUUGUAACUAUUACUGUUGCAUCUUUCUGACAGUUUUUAUUACCCUCCAUAUUCAGAUGAGCUUGCUGACUGAACUUGUCACUAUUUAAAUAUGUUCUGUACUUAAGUAGCCCAAGUUGCAAACCCAGCUGAACCGGGACACUUUUGCUGAAGAACGGAUUUUCAAUCCCUUGCAGGGCUGAACAGUCCAGUCCAAGUGGUUUCUUGAAGUUGGACAUCUCUUUUAACUGUUAAAAAUUGAAAGCAUUUGUAGACAAUCAAUACAUUAUACAGCCAUUAUCAUUUCCAGGCACUUACUGUUCAUUGAAAAUCCAUUAUCCAUAAAUGAGCAUUCACCAGACAGCAUGUAGCACUAGUUCACAGCAUAGUUCAAAUUUAUAUCUGAGAAAAUUAUAUCAUAGCAAGUAGCUUUGACCUGUCACCAUUUCAUCCUCACCUUCCUUAUCUAUAACCAAAAAAAACCUUCUUGACUGCUCUUUUAAAAAAAAAAAAAAAACAUUCACACUUUUUUUUUUACUUUUCUUUUUCUUCUCCGUACUUAUUAUAAGCAUAGAACAAACAGGUCAUCUUCUACUCAUUCACAAUAUUACUGACUGCUCUUAGAGAACAGAAGUUAUAAUUCCUCUUCCAUGCUAAUUUCUUUGCUUUUCAUUACACAACAUGGACAUAAAUUACAAAGCAAAUGUGAUGUGAUAAGAGUACCUAACUAUUUGCACCGAACCUAUCAUAACCACUGAUUCUAAACAUGUAUUAACUAAUAAAAUUGGAGAAGCUUAUUGGAGGCCUGAUUAGUUCAUGAUGGAAUUACUUUUGUAGAAAUAGAGGCUUGUCCUACUCAAUAUUCAGAUAGUGAGAACAGCAUUGAAUCACCUGGAGGUAACAAGCAAACAGGUAUGUUUAAGAACAGGCCUGUCUUGUUUAUCUAGUAUUUUAUGAAGAGGACAGUGUGUUAUUUAACUGGGACAAUUAAGUAUCUUUAUCUGACUGAGAGUUAUUACAAACAGUUGCUUUUUUUUUUUAGGAUGAGAGAGAAGAUAUACAUAUUAAUUUCAGCAUUUACCAUAUUGCAUCAAUCAACAAACUAAGGGUUACUGGCAUGCUUGAUAUUCUUUUCUCUACCUAAUUUAAAAUCCUUAAUUUAAUUCUUAAAAGCCUUAAUUUAAAAUCCUCUAUAAUACAACUAUUCUUUAAUUGUUCUACUGUCCUUAGCUACGCUAUCUCUUCUAGUAUAACAUUUACAAAAAUGCAGUAAUCUUGUAUGCAGUUUUACAAUAUCUUGAACCAUAAAUAUUUGUGUUUGCAGGUGUAUAGAGCACACAUGCGUAUUUAUGUUUAAUGUGUAAUUAUAUACUGUAAAUAUAUUACCCACAUAUAGAUCCAUGUCUAAUCUCUAAAUAUAAUCACUAAAUUUUAUCUAGCUAUAUUGUUUAUGAACUUAUUAAGUUAAAUUAAUAAAUCUUAGAAAUACAUCAA